UACGAAGGAUGCAAGCGUUAUCCGGAUUUAUUGGGUUUAAAGGGUGCGUAGGCGGCCUUAUAAGUCAGUGGUGAAAUCUCGUUGCUUAACAACGAACGUGCCAUUGAUACUGUAGGGCUUGAGUACAGAUGCCGUUGGCGGAAUGUGUCAUGUAGCGGUGAAAUGCAUAGAUAUGACACAGAACACCGAUUGCGAAGGCAGCUGACGAAACUGUAACUGACGCUGAGGCACGAAAGCGUGGGGAUCAAACAGG
rnacentral:rRNA from 1 species